rnacentral:rRNA from 1 species
AUUGAACGCUGGCGGCAGGCCUAACACAUGCAAGUCGAACGGUAGCACAGAGAGCUUGCUCUCGGGUGACGAGUGGCGGACGGGUGAGUAAUGUCUGGGAAACUGCCUGAUGGAGGGGGAUAACUACUGGAAACGGUAGCUAAUACCGCAUAACGUCGCAAGACCAAAGAGGGGGACCUUCGGGCCUCUUGCCAUCAGAUGUGCCCAGAUGGGAUUAGCUAGUAGGUGGGGUAACGGCUCACCUAGGCGACGAUCCCUAGCUGGUCUGAGAGGAUGACCAGCCACACUGGAACUGAGACACGGUCCAGACUCCUACGGGAGGCAGCAGUGGGGAAUAUUGCACAAUGGGCGCAAGCCUGAUGCAGCCAUGCCGCGUGUAUGAAGAAGGCCUUCGGGUUGUAAAGUACUUUCAGCGGGGAGGAAGGCGAUAAGGUUAAUAACCUUGUCGAUUGACGUUACCCGCAGAAGAAGCACCGGCUAACUCCGUGCCAGCAGCCGCGAUAAUACGGAGGGUGCAAGCGUUAAUCGGAAUUACUGGGCGUAAAGCGCACGCAGGCGGUCUGUCAAGUCGGAUGUGAAAUCCCCGGGCUCAACCUGGGAACUGCAUUCGAAACUGGCAGGCUGGAGUCUUGUAGAGGGGGGUAGAAUUCCAGGUGUAGCGGUGAAAUGCGUAGAGAUCUGGAGGAAUACCGGUGGCGAAGGCGGCCCCCUGGACAAAGACUGACGCUCAGGUGCGAAAGCGUGGGGAGCAAACAGGAUUAGAUACCCUGGUAGUCCACGCUGUAAACGAUGUCGACUUGGAGGUUGUUCCCUUGAGGAGUGGCUUCCGGAGCUAACGCGUUAAGUCGACCGCCUGGGGAGUACGGCCGCAAGGUUAAAACUCAAAUGAAUUGACGGGGGCCCGCACAAGCGGUGGAGCAUGUGGUUUAAUUCGAUGCAACGCGAAGAACCUUACCUACUCUUGACAUCCAGAGAACUUAGCAGAGAUGCUUUGGUGCCUUCGGGAACUCUGAGACAGGUGCUGCAUGGCUGUCGUCAGCUCGUGUUGUGAAAUGUUGGGUUAAGUCCCGCAACGAGCGCAACCCUUAUCCUUUGUUGCCAGCGGUCCGGCCGGGAACUCAAAGGAGACUGCCAGUGAUAAACUGGAGGAAGGUGGGGAUGACGUCAAGUCAUCAUGGCCCUUACGAGUAGGGCUACACACGUGCUACAAUGGCAUAUACAAAGAGAAGCGACCUCGCGAGAGCAAGCGGACCUCAUAAAGUAUGUCGUAGUCCGGAUUGGAGUCUGCAACUCGACUCCAUGAAGUCGGAAUCGCUAGUAAUCGUGGAUCAGAAUGCCACGGUGAAUACGUUCCCGGGCCU